rnacentral:lncRNA from 1 species
CCUUUGUAGAAUGAAGAAUUAGAUUAACUGAUCUCUAAAAUUCUCUCUUGUUCUAAAUCCAAAGAUUCCCCAAGUACUAAGUGCUCAGUUUCAAAUACUCUUAAUGUUUCAUGAAUCAGGGGUUUGGGGUUUCACUCCCAAAUCUGACACUUAUUCCAUGUGACUAGAGACAAAUCCUAUCCUCUCUCUGGCCCUCAGUUUCCACACCUGUAAAAUCAAAGAAUUGGAUCCAAUUGUUGCUUAGGUGCCUUUGAAUUCAGUGUCCCAAAACAAGCCACAAUUCCAUGUAAAUGGUUCACAAAGAUUUGAUACUGUCACUCAUCUCGUGCCCCAUCCCCAUAUGGGAAUGUGGACACACAGUCAUACCCCUCUGAGAUCCCUAGGGACUGAUGUAAAACAAAGAACUUUAUAAAUGGGAUCAUUGUCACCUCUGUGCCAUUUAUCCUACUUUUACAAUUUAAAAGCAAAUAAGCAUGAUGAGACUAGAGAAAAUUUCCACUUUUUCCAACCACCAUAAAAACAUCCAUCUGGCUUUUAUCACAGAAAGCUCAAGCUUCACAUAUACAGCUGCCCCAUCAGCCCCAAAUGAUGUUCAGUAUCCCCAGUCUUUCUGCUGAGGCAGAUGUUCCCGGGACCGUCACACUGGUGGCCCCAAACCCUUUCAUAGUCACAUAGUUGGCUGCUGAUGCCACAGAAUGCUCCAGGGACCUGGGGCAAGGGGCAUGCUUUGAAUCUUCACGUGCCAAGAUGAAGAAAAUCAAUUUCAAUGCCCAAAGGAGGGAAUUACUGCAGCGGAAGGUCACCAAACACUACAAGUUGCUAUAUUAUCAUGGAGACUCGGAAGAAAAGGGAAAAAAAAGGCCUCAAAAAUGAGGUAUUGGAAACUGAGGAGGGCCAUAAAUUGGAGAAUGGCUGAACAAAAUAUGAUAUAUGAACAUGGUGAACUAUUGCUCUAUAAGAAAUGAAGAAAGAUGGUUUCAGAGAAACCCAGGAAAAAUUUUUAUGUACUAAUGCAGAGUGAAGUGAGCAGAAGAACAGUUUAUACAAAUAACAACAUUGCAAAGACAAAUAACUUUUUUUUUUAAAACUUCAGAACUCUGAUUCAAUGAAGUGACCAAUCUUGGAUGAUGGAAGAAACUACACUAUUUCUGAUAGAAAAGUAAUGGACUUAGGAUGCAGAAUUAGACAUGCAAUUUUUGGAUAUAGAUUUAUUUUGCUUGUCUAUGUAUGUUUAUUAUAGGUUUUUUCCUUUCUUUUUUUUCCAAUGGAGGGAGAGGAAAGGUGGGAAGGAAGGGGGAAAAAUAAACAUGUAUUAAUUGAAAAAGUGAGGUUUUUU